rnacentral:rRNA from 1 species
AGCGAACGCUGGCGGCAGGCCUAACACAUGCAAGUCGAACGAAGUCUUCGGACUUAGUGGCGGACGGGUGAGUAACACGUGGGAACGUGCCUUUAGGUUCGGAAUAACUCAGGGAAACUUGUGCUAAUACCGAAUGUGCCCUUCGGGGGAAAGAUUUAUCGCCUUUAGAGCGACCCGCGUCUGAUUAGCUAGUUGGUGAGGUAAAGGCUCACCAAGGCUACGAUCAGUAGCUGGUCUGAGAGGAUGACCAGCCACAUUGGGACUGAGACGCGGCCCAAACUCCUACGGGAGGCAGCAGUGGGGAAUCUUGCGCAAUGGGCGAAAGCCUGACGCAGCCAUGCCGCGUGGAUGAUGAAGGUCUUAGGAUUGUAAAAUCCUUUCACCGGUGAAGAUAAUGACUGUAGCCGGAGAAGAAGCCCCGGCUAACUUCGUGCCAGCAGCCGCCGUAAGAC